rnacentral:tRNA from 2 species
GGGAUCGUGGUCUAGCUUGGUAUGAUACUUGCCUGGGGGGCAAGUGGUCGCAGGUUCAAAUCCUGCCGGUCCCA